AGAGUUUGAUCAUGGCUCAGAGCGAACGCUGGCGGCAGGCUUAACACAUGCAAGUCGAGCGGGCGUAGCAAUACGUCAGCGGCAGACGGGUGAGUAACGCGUGGGAACGUACCUUUUGGUUCGGAACAACACAGGGAAACUUGUGCUAAUACCGGAUAAGCCCUUACGGGGAAAGAUUUAUCGCCGAAAGAUCGGCCCGCGUCUGAUUAGCUAGUUGGUGAGGUAACGGCUCACCAAGGCGACGAUCAGUAGCUGGUCUGAGAGGAUGAUCAGCCACAUUGGGACUGAGACACGGCCCAAACUCCUACGGGAGGCAGCAGUGGGGAAUAUUGGACAAUGGGCGCAAGCCUGAUCCAGCCAUGCCGCGUGAGUGAUGAAGGCCCUAGGGUUGUAAAGCUCUUUUGUGCGGGAAGAUAAUGACGGUACCGCAAGAAUAAGCCCCGGCUAACUUCGUGCCAGCAGCCGCGGUAAUACGAAGGGGGCUAGCGUUGCUCGGAAUCACUGGGCGUAAAGGGUGCGUAGGCGGGUCUUUAAGUCAGGGGUGAAAUCCUGGAGCUCAACUCCAGAACUGCCUUUGAUACUGAAGAUCUUGAGUUCGGGAGAGGUGAGUGGAACUGCGAGUGUAGAGGUGAAAUUCGUAGAUAUUCGCAAGAACACCAGUGGCGAAGGCGGCUCACUGGCCCGAUACUGACGCUGAGGCACGAAAGCGUGGGGAGCAAACAGGAUUAGAUACCCCAGUAGUCC
rnacentral:rRNA from 1 species